UCUCAGCCGUGCUGUGUUUUUCCAAAGCCUUCCAACAGCAACAUGAAGUUGGCAGCCUUCCUCCUCCUUGUGAUCCUCAUCAUCUUCAGCCUAGAGGUACAAGAGCUUCAGGCUGCAGUGAGACCGUUGCAGCUUUUGGGUACCUGCAUCGAGCUCUGCACAGGUGACUGGGACUGCAACCCUGGAGACCACUGUGUCAGCAAUGGGUGUGGCCAUGAGUGUGUUGCAGGGUAAGGACAGAUGAAGAGUUAUCUUAAGGAUCAUCUUUCUCUAAGAUUAUCAUUCCUUCCUGGAGUUCCUAUCUUCCAAGAUGUGACUGUCUAGGGUUCCUUGACUAGGAAGAUGGAUGAAAACAGCGAGCCUGUGGAUGGAGACUACAGGAGAUAUGGGAGGCAGGGAAGAGGGGUUGUUUCUUUCAAUAAAUCAUCAUUGUUAAAAGCA